UGGGGAAUAUUGGACAAUGGGCGCAAGCCUGAUCCAGCAAUGCCGCGUGGAUGAAGAAGGUCUUCGGAUUGUAAAGUCCUUUCGACGGGGACGAUGAUGACGGUACCCGUAGAAGAAGCCCCGGCUAACUUCGUGCCAGCAGCCGCGGUAAUACGAAGGGGGCUAGCGUUGCUCGGAAUUACUGGGCGUAAAGGGCGCGUAGGCGGCCGACCAAGUCAGGCGUGAAAUUCCCGGGCUCAACCUGGGGGCUGCGCUUGAGACUGGUUGGCUAGAGGCCGAGAGAGGGUGGUGGAAUUCCCAGUGUAGAGGUGAAAUUCGUAGAUAUUGGGAAGAACACCGGUGGCGAAGGCGGCCACCUGGCUCGGUACUGACGCUGAGGCGCGACAGCGUGGGGAGCAAACA
rnacentral:rRNA from 1 species